GUCAUAUGCUUGUCUCAAAGAUUAAGCCAUGCAUGUCUCAGUACAAGCCAAAUUAAGGUGAAACCGCGAAAGGCUCAUUAAAUCAGUUAUGGUUCCUUAGAUCGUACCUACAAUUACUUGGAUAACUGUGGUAAUUCUAGAGCUAAUACAUGCAAACAGAGCUCCGACCGGAGACGGAAGGAGUGCUUUUAUUAGAUCAAAACCAAUCGGUGGCGGGUUCGCUCGUUACCGUACAACUUGGUGACUCUGAAUAACUUUACGCUGAUCGCACGGUCAUCGCACCGGCGACGCAUCUUUCAAAUGUCUGCCUUAUCAACUGUCGAUGGUAGGUUCUGCGCCUACCAUGGUUGUAACGGGUAACGGGGAAUCAGGGUUCGAUUCCGGAGAGGGAGCCUGAGAAACGGCUACCACAUCCAAGGAAGGCAGCAGGCGCGCAAAUUACCCACUCCCGGCACGGGGAGGUAGUGACGAAAAAUAACGAUACGGGACUCAUCCGAGGCCCCGUAAUCGGAAUGAGUACACUCUAAACCCUUUAACGAGGAUCAAUUGGAGGGCAAGUCUGGUGCCAGCAGCCGCGG
rnacentral:rRNA from 1 species